UAGAUCAUGGAAUCAGAUGAGAGUCCAGGAUCACCAAAUCAGCUUUGCAUCCCUGAUAGCAUGUUCCUACAGGAAAGAGCUCUACCAUUUCCUCAGUGCCCUGCCUUAGCCAGAGAUGGAAGCCAAGGAAACCUGCCAGGAGCAAAACAUACAGUGAUGAGCCAGCCUCGGGUGAGCUAAGGCCCCUUCCUUCCUUCCUGAAAAUAUACACUGUCUCUUAAAUGUGGCCUUGUCCUCACUCCCAGGUGCUCGCUCUCAUAAGGGAUGCUUUUUCGGAUGACAGACCAUUUGUGGAUUGUUUGUUCUUUGUUAUUUUUUGCUGCUGAAAGCCUAUGUUCCUUUUCACCUCGUCCCCAGAUACACACCAAACAGUAACAGCCUUUCACUUCUGUAAACCUUCUCCCUACAAAUUCUUUUCUUCUGCCUCUGUUUCCUGAGGGAACUAUGAAAUUUCCUCCCACAACAGCAGGCGCAUGUUAUUUCAGGAGUCCGUGACAUUUGAGGAUGUAGCUGUGAACUUCAGUCAUGAGGAGUGGCAGUGUCUGACCCACUCUCAAAGGCACCUCUAUAAAGAUGUGAUGUUGGAAAAUUAUGGGAACAUGGUGUCACUCGGAUUUUCAUUUUCUAAACCUCCUUUGAUCUCCUGUCUGGAGCAAGGUGCAGAGUCCUAUGUUCAGGAUCAACAGGACUGGGAGUUCCUGAGCUGCUCCUAUCCAGUAUCAGCUGCCAAGACAUUGCCUGAGAGUGAGAAGGCAAGAUCAGAAGAGGAGGUUUUUGAAAAUGGAGAAGUAUGCUGGGUGAAAUUUAAAAGUCUCCUAAAAGUUGUUUCCCAGGAUCCAGAGGCUGGAGAAGUUUGUGUACAAGAUGUCAAAUUAGAGAAUCAAUGGGAAAAGCCUAUGAGAGAGAAACGGAGAGAAGAGAAAGAAAGCUGUGAGAAAGUGACUUUCAGGAAAGGAAAGAACCAGAAGGGACUUAUAAAACACUUCAGUCCAAACUCAGAAUGUAUUCUGUAUGGAAUUCUUACGGAAAAGAAACAGCAUGAGUGUACCCGAUGUGGCAAACACUUCAGUUGGCAUUCUGAUUUAAUUCUCCAUGAGCGAAUUCACUCUGGCGAGAAACCCUAUGUGUGUAAUGAGUGUGGGAAAGCAUUCAAGACCAAAAAUCAACUUUUCAUGCACCAGAUAAUCCACACAGGGGAGAAACCCUUUAACUGUACCCAGUGUGGGAAGGCCUUCAGUAGUAGAUCCGCUCUUUGCCGACAUAAAAAGACCCACAGUGGGGAGAAGCCACACCCGUGCAGUGACUGUGGGAAGGCCUUCAAGACCAGGUACUGUCUCAGGAUGCAUCAGAUCAUCCACACAGGAGAGAAGCCUUACGAAUGUAGUGACUGUGGGAAGGCCUUUCAGUUUAAGCAUUCCCUCAUCAUCCACAGCAGGAGCCACACUGGGGAGAAACCCUAUGCGUGUGAGGAGUGCGGGAAGGCUUUCAGCGGGAGUUCAGACCUCAUCAAACACACAAGAGUCCACACUGGGGAGCGACCUUAUGAGUGCAAUGAGUGUGGGAGGGCCUUCAGCUGGAGCUCAGACCUAAGCAAACACAGAAGACUCCACACUCAGGAGAAACACUGUGGGUGCCCUCGGUGUGGGAAAGCCUUCAGCAACGAAGCAGAGCUCACCAAACAUAGAAGAAUCCACACCAAAGAGAAGCCUUACAAGUGUAAGGAGUGUGGGAAAGCCUUUCAUCAUAACUGUAAAUGCCGGGCUCAUGAACGAGGACACACCGGGGAUAAGCCCCAUCGAUGUGGGGACUGUGGGAAAACUUUCCAAGAUCAACACUGCCUUACCAUCCAUCAAAGAAUCCACACUGGAGAGAAACCUUAUAAAUGUUCAGAGUGUGGCCGAGCUUUCAGUGGGAAAUCAAACUUGACCAAUCAUCAAAGAAUCCACACCGGAGAGAAACCUUACAGGUGUAAGGUGUGUGGAAAGGUCUUUCAUCAGAGCUCAGUCCUGAGACAGCAUGAAAGAAUCCACACGGGUGAGAAGCCAUUUACCUGUCAUGAGUGUGGCACGUCUUUCCGUCAGAGCUCAGCCCUGAUUGGACACAAGCGAGUUCAUACUGGAGAGAAACCUUAUGUAUGUGAGGAGUGUGGAAAAGCUUUCAGAGUGAGCUCAAAUCUUAGUAGACAUAAGAAAAGGAAACACAGAGUGUGGGAAAUCCACAAACUUGGGGAGAGUGGGAAAUCUCCCUCUCCAGUAACUGGUUCUCAGACCUUUUCGUUCAUCAAUAUUUUGACCACCAACACCUGA
rnacentral:lncRNA from 1 species